AUACUUACUUGGCAGGGGGAAUACCAUGAUCACGAAGGUGGUUUACACAGGCUGAGGAUCUUCCAUUGCACACUUCAUUUGGCUUGCCUGAUGCUGCUGAAGACAUCUUUCAAUAAUCUUAACUACAAUCAAUUUCUCCAGUUGCUGGUUGUGUGUGCCUAUGCAUAUA